UUGGGGUCUUUUGUGCAGAGUAUGAAGUGCAAGUCCUUCAUUCACUCACAGAGUUUUGUGAGAAUCAAACCGUGUUAGAGAAAGUUUACACGAGUGCAGCCUGAGGAAGAUUUCUUUAAAUUUAUUUUUUUGUGUGGGAGAAAACACUAUUGUGAGUCCAUACAAACAUCCUGUUGUUUGUGUGCAACGAAUCUCGUGCUCAUAUUUUUUGGGGGCUUUUUUGAAGUACGUCUUUUUCAUUCAGGGGAAAACAGUGUCAUGGGAUUUCCAAAGAGAAACUUUGGCGGCGGCACAAUCUUCUGUUUCAUCUUCAUGGUCGGUGUUGUUGUCAGUGAAUUACGACUACUGACCAAUUCUUGGGUUCAAGCAGAAUGUGGACAAACCUUGAAUUUAACGUGUGAAGUCAAUUCCACAAACCCGGCGGGCUUAAUUAUCAAAACCUUGGAAUGGGUGCAUAGAAAAGCAACUUGUGAUUACAGCCCUGCAAAAACUGACCACGGACUUUACUGCCAUCUCCAAAAUGAAACUUCGCCAAUCUUACUACUUGGAACGCUCACCAAUAUAACGCCAGAUGACGGAGGAGAAUACAUCUGCAAGAUGCAUUCAAACCAAGGAAUAGUGAAUGAGAAAACUCUUGUUAAAGUAAACUGCUGCCCUGGAAGUGGUAACAUCAGGCGGAAUGGGUCUCUCCUCACAUGUCAGUUUGAAGGAGUUUACCCGAGCGCCAACAUUCACUGGCUCCAAGGACAAAAUAACUUAACAAAUGCCAGCAAUACAACGGAGAUAAAGAAUGAGAAUGGCUUUUAUGGUUACAUAAGUACCAUAUCAAUUGAGAAAGAAAACCAGGACCAAAAUUAUAGCUGCGUACUGUCUAGGCUUCCUCUGUGUGACAAUAUCUUAGAAAUGAAAAGUGUGUCCAACAGAGGCACAGUCAAAGUCCAGCAGAAUACUUUUGUGAUAGAAAUUGUGUUGAUGAUGAUGACGAUGACUUUUAUGUGGUAAAGAGACAGACAUUAUGACUAAUUUAUUACUGUAAAAAGAAAAAAAAAUGUUUAAAAACUUUUGGACAUAAUUCUCCAUUUAUUUCAGUGAUCAAAUGUGCCUUUUCUGAUCAAGUCCAAUCAGUCUAAUUAAACAGAGUUGGACUUCAACAAAGAAGUACAACUAUCUCGAUGUGUAUUACAAUAUGUUGUUUAAUACUAUGAAAAUGGGCCACCCAGCUUACAUUAUUGAGAAAUAAAAUGAACAUUUUUUUUGGCAAAUGGCUACAAUAAAGUAAAGAUUUAAUUUUAAAAAGUUGUAAUUACUUUUACAUUGCUUUAACUUUUUAAGUGCUGUUAUUUUAUUGUUUCGAAAUUGUAUGUAAAGAAUGUAAAGUGGUACUUUCCGUACCUUCUGUUGUAUCUAUGCAUAAAAAAACCACUGUUCUCCACUAGAUGGCAGCAGAUUUUUUUCCAUUUUAGGAGAAACAACACCUAAAAGCUUGGAAGAGCCAGAUUGUGUUUUCCACCAGCUGAACUUUUAUUAUGUCUCAAUUUUUUCUGAUGUUUUUUGACUUUUGUGUGAUUUACUUGCAGUGUUGCAGUUGAUAGGUAAGUCUCAUCCUGUACCUGUUGUGCCUGUCCUCGAAUCAGAACAGAAGGAAGCAGAUCCAAAACCAAUGAGGAAAAUAAAGACUGGCUUCAGUUUUAUUACAAAGCUGUGUAAUGUUGUUAUUUUUUUGCUAAAUCAGAACAAAUUCUCGAGAUGAUUUUGUGUUUUUGUAUCAAGAGAUCUUGUUGCUUUCUCUCUAUUUAAAAAUGGUUAUUUUGUGCCUAUUCUGUAAUCUUGCGGAAUGCAUAAACAUCCUCAUGUCUGAUACACGUCCUGUUUCUGUUUCUCAGUUAUUGCAUGUUUUACUGUUGUGAAAUAUAUGGUUUGUUUUACAAGC